UACGAGAGGCCCAAACGUUAUUCGGAAUUACUGGGCUUAAAGAGUUCGUAGGCGGCAUGAAAAGCGGGGUGUGAAAGCCCUCGGCUCAACCGAGGAAUUGCGCUCUGAACUGUCGUGCUUGAGGAACCUAGAGGUGAGCAGAACAGAUGGUGGAGCGGUGAAAUGCGUUGAUAUCAUCUGGAAUACCGGAGGCGAAGGCGGCUCACUGGGGGUUUUCUGACGCUGAGGAACGAAAGCCAGGGUAGCGAACGGG
rnacentral:rRNA from 1 species